rnacentral:misc_RNA from 1 species
CUGAGUUUUUACUCUAAACCCUGUUUACCUAUCUGUUGCUUCGGAGGCGCCCCUCGGGAGGGGUUAUGCUUCGGCCGUCUCCAAAAGCACCUAAACUAUUGAACUGUGUUGUCAAUCUGAAAAGUAAAAAAAAAAAAUC